AAAGUGAAGAGUUUGAUCAUGGCUCAGAUUGAACGCUGGCGGCAGGCUUAACACAUGCAAGUCGAGCGGCAUCGGGAAGUAAUGUUUGAGUUAAUGUUAAGUUAAUUGAAUAUUAUUUUGCCGGCGAGCGGCGUACGGGUGAGUAAAAUCUGGGGAUCUGCCUAAUGAAGGGGGAUAACUAUUGGAAACGAUAGCUAAUACCGCAUGAAGUCUUUUUUUUAAGACCAAAGUAGGGGACUCUAUGGUAUUCAUUAUUAGGGCCUUAUGUCAUUAGAUGAACCCAGAUGGGAUUAGCUAGUAGGUGAGGUAAUGGCUCACCUAGGCCACGAUCCCUAGCUGGUCUGAGAGGAUGACCAGCCACACUGGAACUGAGAUACGGUCCAGACUCCUACGGGAGGCAGCAGUGGGGAAUAUUGCACAAUGGGGGAAACCCUGAUGCAGCCAUGCCGUGUGUGUGAAGAAGGCCUUCGGGUUGUAAAGCACUUUUAAUAGGAAAGAAGGCAAUAAUACAAAUAAUAUUAUUGAUUGACGUUACCUAUAGAAUAAGCACCGGCUAACUCCGUGCCAGCAGCCGCGGUAAUACGGAGGGUGCAAGCGUUAAUCGGAAUUACUGGGCGUAAAGAGUACGUAGGCGGUUUUAUUAAGUCAGAUGUGAAAUCCCCGGGCUUAACCUGGGAACUGCAUUUGAAACUGUUAAGCUAGAGUUUUGUAGAGGGGGGUAGAAUUCCAGGUGUAGCGGUGAAAUGCGUAGAGAUCUGGAGGAAUACCAGUGGCGAAGGCGGCCCCCUGGACAAAAACUGACGCUCAGGUACGAAAGCGUGGGGAGCAAACAGGAUUAGAUACCCUGGUAGUCCACGCUGUAAACGAUGUCGAUUUGAAGGUCGUAACCUUUGAGUUGUGGCUUUCGUAGUUAACGCGUUAAAUCGACCGCCUGGGGAGUACGGCCGCAAGGUUAAAACUCAAAUGAAUUGACGGGGGCCCGCACAAGCGGUGGAGCAUGUGGUUUAAUUCGAUGCAACGCGAAGAACCUUACCUACUCUUGACAUCCAGAGAACUAUGUAGAGAUAUAUGGGUGCCUUCGGGAACUCUGAGACAGGUGCUGCAUGGCUGUCGUCAGCUCGUGUUGUGAAAUGUUGGGUUAAGUCCCGCAACGAGCGCAACCCUUAUCCUUUGUUGCCAGCGAUGAAGUCGGGAACUCAAAGGAGACUGCCGAUGAUAAGUCGGAGGAAGGUGAGGAUGACGUCAAGUCAUCAUGGCCCUUAUGGGUAGGGCUACAAACGUGCUACAAUGGCGUAUACAAAGAGAAGCGAUCUUGUAAAAGCUAGCAAAUCUCAUAAAGUGCGUCGUAGUUCGGAUUGGAGUCUGCAACUCGACUCCAUGAAGUCGGAAUCGCUAGUAAUCGUGAAUCAGAAUGUCACGGUGAAUACGUUCCCGGGCCUUGUACACACCGCCCGUCACACCAUGGGAGUGGAUUGCAAAAGAAGCAAGUAGCUUAACCAUUUAAAACAUGGAGGGCGCUUGCCACUUUGUGAUUCAUGACUGGGGUGAAGUCGUAACAAGGUAACCGUAGGGGAACCUGUGGUUGGAUCACCUCCUUA
rfam:Blochmannia endosymbiont of Camponotus (Colobopsis) obliquus strain 757, complete genome.